rnacentral:rRNA from 1 species
AGUGAACGCUGGCGGUAGGCCUAACACAUGCAAGUCGAACGGCAGCACAGUAAGAGCUUGCUCUUACGGGUGGCGAGUGGCGGACGGGUGAGGAAUACAUCGGAAUCUACUUUUUCGUGGGGGAUAACGUAGGGAAACUUACGCUAAUACCGCAUACGACCUACGGGUGAAAGCAGGGGAUCUUCGGACCUUGCGCGAUUGAAUGAGCCGAUGUGGGAUUAGCUAGUUGGCGGGGUAAAGGCCCACCAAGGCGACGAUCCGUAGCUGGUCUGAGAGGAUGAUCAGCCACACUGGAACUGAGACACCGUCCAGACUCCUACGGGAGGCAGCAGUGGGGAAUAUUGGACAAUGGGCGCAAGCCUGAUCCAGCCAUCCCGCGUGGGUGAAGAAGGCCUUCGGGUUGUAAAGCCCUUUUGUUGGGAAAGAAAAGCAGCAGGUUAAUACCCCGCUGUUCUGACGGUACCCAAAGAAUAAGCACCGGCUAACUUCGUG